UACGUAGGUGGCAAGCGUUGUCCGGAUUUACUGGGCGUAAAGAGCGCGCAGGCGGUCGAUCAAGUCGCGUGUGAAAGCCCCCCGGCUCAACUGGGGAGGGUCACGCGAUACUGAUCGACUCGAAGGCAGGAGAGGGUAGUGGAAUUCCCGGUGUAGUGGUGAAAUGCGUAGAUAUCGGGGAGGAACACCAGUGGCGAAGGCGGCUGCCUGGCCUGUUCUUGACGCUGAGGCGCGAAAGCUGGGGGAGCAAACGGG
rnacentral:rRNA from 1 species